rnacentral:rRNA from 1 species
GUCCACGCUGUAAACGAUGGGCACUAGGUGUUCGGGGUAUUGACCCCCUGAGUGCCGCAGCUAACGCAUUAAGUGCCCCGCCUGGGGACUACGGCCGCAAGGUUAAAAACUCAAAGGAAUUGACGGGGGCCCGCACAAGCGGUGGAGCAUGUGGUUCAAUUCGACGCAACGCGAAGAACCUUACCUGGGCUAGACAACGUCGGACAUCCCCAGAAAUGGGGCCUUCCCGCAAGGGACCGGCGGUUCAGGUGCUGCAUGGCUGUCGU